CGUAGGGUGAACCUGCGGAAGGAUCAUUAAAAACGAAAAUGAAGCCUAAGUACCUACCCUAUGGUGAUUCAGAAGGUAGUGUGCCUAGGUGGAUUCUUGUCAGGGUAAGCCUGCUAUCACCCUUGAAUAUUCUACCUCUGUUGCUUUGGCGGGCCGCUCGUGCCACUGGCCUAGGCUAGUGAGUGCCCGUCGAAGGACCCUAAACUCUUAAUAUUACUGUCGUCUGAGUACUAUUCAAUAGUUAAAACUUUCAACAACGGAUCUCUUGGUUCUGGCAUCGAUGAAGAACGCAGCGAAAUGCGAUAAGUAAUGUGAAUUGCAGAAUUCAGUGAAUCAUCGAAUCUUUGAACGCACAUUGCGCCCCUUGGUAUUCCGAGGGGCAUGCCUGUUCGAGCGUCAUUAUAACCCUCAAGCUCAGCUUGGUGUUGGAGCAUACCAUCUGGUAGCCCUUAAAAUCAGUGGCGGUGCUGUCUAGGUCUAAGCGUAAUAAUCAUUCUCGCUAUAGCGCCCACACGGUCACCUGCCAUAACCCCUAAUUUCUAUGGUUGACCUCGGAUCAGGUAGGGAUACCCGCUGAACUUAAGCAUAUCAAUAAGCGGAGGAA
rnacentral:rRNA from 1 species